UACAUCAAUGAUGACCAGCAGCAGCUAGAUGAUUCGUGAAUCUUGACUAUAGAUCGGGGAUUCUGAGUUCCAC